rnacentral:rRNA from 1 species
GGGAAAGCAGGUGAGACGACCAAAACAACCAGGAGGUUGGCUUAGAAGCAGCCAUCCUUUAAAGAUAGCGUAACAGCUCACUGGUCUAAAUAAGUUGUCUUGCGGCGAAGAUGUAACGGGGCUCAAGCCAUGAGCCGAAGCUGAGGAUGCACUAGUUGCAUGGUAGCAGAGCGUAGUGUGACAUAAUUCCAUGUCUCCUUAACCCUUCGGGGUAUUGGAGACGCGGAGUUUUCUGUGAAGCCGGCGCGUGAGCGAUCCGGUGGAGAGAUCACUAGUGAGAAUGAUGACAUGAGUAGCGACAAAGAGUGUGAGAGACACUCUCGCCGAAAGUCCAAGGGUUCCUGCUUAAAGCUAAUCUGAGCAGGGUAAGCCGACCCCUAAGGCGAGGCCGAAAGGCGUAGUCGAUGGGAACCAGGUUAAUAUUCCUGGGCCAGAUGGAAGUGACGGAUUUCGAGGGUAGUUCAUCCUUAUUGGAUUGAAUGGGCUGCUUAGAAGUCCCUGGAAAUAGCUCCAUCGCUAGAUCGUACCCUAAACCGACACAGGUGGACUGGUAGAGAAUACCAAGGCGCUUGAGAGAACUAUGUUGAAGGAACUCGGCAAAAUACCUCCGUAAGUUCGCGAGAAGGAGGCCCGGUUCCUAGGCAACUAGGGGCUGGGGGCACAAACCAGGGGGUGGCGACUGUUUAUUAAAAACACAGGGCUCUGCGAAGUCGCAAGACGACGUAUAGGGUCUGACGCCUGCCCGGUGCCUGAAGGUUAAAAGGAGGGGUGAGAGCUCUGAAUUGAAGCCCAGGUAAACGGCGGCCGUAACUAUAACGGUCCUAAGGUAGCGAAAUUCCUUGUCGGGUAAGUUCCGACCUGCACGAAUGGCGUAACGACUUCCCCGCUGUCUCCAACAUAGACUCAGCGAAAUUGAAUUACCUGUCAAGAUGCAGGUUUCCCGCGGUUAGACGGAAAGACCCCGUGCACCUUUACUACAACUUCACACUGGCAUUAGGCCGAACAUGUGCAGGAUAGGUGGUGGGCUUUGAAGCGUGGACGCCAGUCUGCGUGGAGCCUCCCUUGAGAUACCACCCUUGUUCUGCUUGAUGUCUAACCGCGGUCCGUUAUCCGGAUCCGGGACCCUGUGUGGUGGGUAGUUUGACUGGGGCGGUCGCCUCCUAAAUCGUAACGGAGGCGCGCGAAGGUUGGCUCAGAGCGGUCGGAAAUCGCUCGUUGAGUGCAAUGGCAGAAGCCAGCCUGACUGCAAGACUGACAAGUCGAGCAGAGUCGAAAGACGGCCAUAGUGAUCCGGUGG